CCUACGGGAGGCAGCAGUGAGGAAUAUUGGUCAAUGGACGAGAGUCUGAACCAGCCAAGUAGCGUGAAGGAUGACUGCCCUAUGGGUUGUAAACUUCUUUUAUAUGGGAAUAAAACGUUCCACGUGUGGGUUUUUGUAUGUACCAUAUGAAUAAGGAUCGGCUAACUCCGUGCCAGCAGCCGCGGUAAUACGGAGGAUCCGAGCGUUAUCCGGAUUUAUUGGGUUUAAAGGGAGCGUAGGUGGCUUGUUAAGUCAGUUGUGAAAGUUUGGGGCUCAACCGUAAAAUUGCAGUUGAAACUGGCAGUCUUGAGUACAGUAGAGGUAGGCGGAAUUCGUGGUGUAGCGGUGAAAUGCUUAGAUAUCACGAAGAACCCCGAUUGCGAAGGCAGCUCACUGGACUGCAACUGACACUGAGGCUCGAAAGUGUGGGUAUCAAACAGGAUUAGAUACCCCAGUAGUC
rnacentral:rRNA from 1 species